rnacentral:tRNA from 1 species
GCCCGCUUAGUUAAAUGGUAUAACAGGUCAUUCGUAAUGACUAGUUGGGGGUUCGAUUCCCUCAGCGGGCACCA